rnacentral:rRNA from 1 species
UUCGCCUUCAUGAAGCCGGAAUUGCUAGUAAUGGCAGGUCAGCAUACUGCCGUGAAUACGUUCCCGGGCCUUGUACACACCGCCCGUCACACCAUGAGAGUUGGGAAUACCCGAAGCCUGUGAGCUAACUAUAUGAGGCAGCAGUCGAAGGUAGAAUCAAUGAUUGGGGUGAAGUCGUAACAAGGUACC